rnacentral:rRNA from 1 species
CAGCCGUAAACAAUGUGCGUUAGGUGUGUCGGUAACCACGCGUUACCGAUGCGCCGAAGAGAAAUCGUGAAACGCACCACCUGGGAAGUACGGUCGCAAGGCUGAAACUUAAAGGAAUUGGCGGGGGAGCACCACAACAGGUGGAGCCUGCGGUUUAAUUGGAUUCAACGCCGGACAUCUCACCGGAUAGGACAGCAGAAUGAUUGCCGGGCUGAAGACCCUGCAUGACUAGCUGAGAGGAGGUGCAUGGCGUAGACGUCU